UCUAAGGCAGAGAGAAUCCUGCUUGCAAGC
rnacentral:piRNA from 1 species